rnacentral:lncRNA from 12 species
GAAUGUAACCUUGAGUCUGCACUGGCAGAGAGGCUCCCUUGGCAAUUACCCACAACUGUUUUAUUGUGGUGGUUGGGAAGGCCACCUCCCAGGCCACCUUUUAUCAUAAAUUCAACCACCCCAAAGUCCAUUUUUUUUUUACUAGGGAGCAGGGAAGAGAUUGAAAGGAAGAAAGAAAGGUUAUGCCCACAACUAAAGAAUUCCGUGGCAGCAGACGCCUUCCACCGGAUGCUAACCUACAGAGCCCGGAGCAUCUGCGGAGAAGCUGCAGGAGGGUAACAGCUAAGGGCUCUCAACUGCACGCGUCCCUCUGCUCACUUUUCCUGCCAUCCCAUUAAGCCAGCUUUUCAACCAGGUAGUCAACUGGUCCUGGGAAGGAUGAUGACUGAGAAGUUUAGAGCAAGACAAAGCUCCCUUCCAGGCUGGAUUCUGUUUGUUUUUCCGGGUUUUCUUAGCAACUUUAAUCUCCCUUCUUUCUACACCAUAACAGGCGAGCAAGGCUCUGCCCUGUUUCACCCCGGCCCUCCCUCGGCGGCAUCUGAGUCACUUAGAACCCCUGGAUCUUCGGGGGCGCCCUGGACACAGCAGGUGCGCGGCGCAGGUGCUGGAACACGAGACAGGGGUCGGCCCCAAGGUCCCAGAAGCUCUGAUAAAAUGCUUAUUGGCCUGCAGUUGAUCCCAGCAUGUGAUAUAGGUUUGCGGGUGAGGGGAAGGAGUUGUCACCGGGCAUCCAUGGAGUGAGGAAUCCAGGACACUCCAGGCUUUGACCUGAGAAGGUGAGAGAGCACUGCCUUCCAGUUAGUUCCAUUGCAAAAAAGCAUGUGGUGGCUGCCGGGGACACAUUCCUGCACCAGAAGGAUUUCUAGGAUCAUCGCAUGAGAGCCCAUUCAUUCUCCACACACGACUGCCUUUGAUUCCCAUCAGUGACAUUCACGGACUCCUACAAAGACCAGGCCCCGAGCGGGGACACUGAAAUAAAUGAGUCAGAGCCUUUCGUGUCUUCCA